rnacentral:rRNA from 1 species
GUGGGGAAUAUUGGGCAAUGGGGGAAACCCUGACCCAGCGACGCCGCGUGAGGGAAGAAGGCCUUAGGGUCGUAAACCUCUGUUGUGUGGGAAGAAGGAAGUGACGGUACCACACGAGGAAGUCCCGGCUAACUACGUGCCAGCAGCCGCGGUAAUACGUAGGGGACGAGCGUUGUCCGGAAUUACUGGGCGUAAAGGGCGCGUAGGCGGUCAUUUAAGUCAGCUGUGAAAUGGUCCGGCUCAACCGGAUCAUGCGGUUGAAACUGGAUGACUGGAGUGCUGGAGAGGCAAGUGGAAUUCCCAGUGUAGCGGUGAAAUGCGUAGAUAUUGGGAAGAACACCGGUGGCGAAGGCGACUUGCUGGCCAGCAACUGACGCUGAGGCGCGAAAGCCAGGGGAGCAAACGGGAUUAGAAACCCCGGUAGUCC